AAAUUGAAGAGUUUGAUCAUGGCUCAGAUUGAACGCUGGCGGCAGGCCUAACACAUGCAAGUCGAACGGUAACAGGAAGCAGCUUGCUGCUUCGCUGACGAGUGGCGGACGGGUGAGUAAUGUCUGGGAAACUACCUGAUGGAGGGGGAUAACUACUGGAAACGGUAGCUAAUACCGCAUAAUGUCGCAGGACCAAAGAGGGGGACCUUCGGGCCUCUUGCCAUCAGAUGUGCCCAGAUGGGAUUAGCUUGUUGGUGAGGUAACGGCUCACCAAGGCGACGAUCCCUAGCUGGUCUGAGAGGAUGACCAGCCACACUGGAACUGAGACACGGUCCAGACUCCUACGGGAGGCAGCAGUGGGGAAUAUUGCACAAUGGGCGCAAGCCUGAUGCAGCCAUGCCGCGUGUAUGAAGAAGGCCUUCGGGUUGUAAAGUACUUUCAGCGGGGAGGAAGGGGAUAAGGCUAA
rnacentral:rRNA from 1 species